CCCGCCCCUUUUGGGGAGCCACCCCCGAAUUCGAUCCCGGGACGACGAAAGGGAGCGAAAAAUCGCCUCAGCCGGAAGCAGCUGGAGCGCUGCUGGAGUCACGUGGAAGGGGUGAUGAAAGCUUGUACCAGUCUUCCUGUGAUGAAAACCUGGAAUCUUACAGUUACUAUGAAAUGGGAUUUUGAACAAGCGGGACAUUCACUUUCAUUGCUGAAUGAGCCAGUAAAGAUGUAGAAGAA